UGGCUUUUGAGCAGCUGCAGAAAGGAAACCUGAUCUUCUAUGAAUCUGACCUCAGAGAGAGUGGCAUCGAUAUCAGAGCAGCCUCAGUCUACUCAGGAGUCUUCACACAGGUCUUUAGAGAAGAGAGAGGACUGUACCAGGACAAGGUUUUCUGCUUCAUCCAUCUGAGUGUCCAGGAGUUUUUGGCUGCUCUUCAUGUCCACCUGACCUUUACAAACUCUGGAGUCAACCUGAUGAAGGAAGAACAAACAACAUCCUCAAUCUCUACAAUCCUUGGUGUCAAACGAAAACCGAAACAUCUCCAUCAGAGUGCUGUGGACAAGGCCUUACAGAGUCCAAACGGACACCUGGAUUUAUUUCUACGUUUCCCCCUGGGUCUUUCACUGCAAACCAAUCAGAAUUUCCUGAGAGGUCUGCUGACACACACAGGAGGUAGCUCACAGACCAAUCAAGAAACAGUCCAGUACAUCAAGAAGAAGAUCAGCGAGGAUCUGUCUGCAGAGAAAAGCAUCAAUCUGAAUGAACUAAAUGAUCGUUCUCUAGUAAAUGAGAUCCAGUGGUCCCUGAGAUCAGAACAUCUCUUCACAGAGAAACUGUCCCCCGCUCAGUGGUCAGCUCUGGUCUUCAUCCUACUGUCAUCAGAAAAAGAUGUGGAAGUAUUACUAGUAUUAGUAUACUGCUGGCAGUGGUCAAAGCCUCCAACAAAGCUCUGUGAGUGGACACGUGAGAGAUUAAAACAUUAUUGUUCAUGAGAGAUGAAACAUUGUGUCUCUGCUAAUCACUGAAUCUUCUUCAGUCUGAGCGGAUCUAACCUGUCAAAGAGAAGCUGUGAAGCUCUGUCCUCAGUCCACAGCUCCCAGUCCUCCAGUCUGAGAGAGCUGGACCUGAGCAACAACGACCUGCAGGAUUCAGGAGUGAAGCUGCUGUCUGCUGGACUUGAGAGUCCUCACUGUUCACUGGAAACUCUCAGGUCAGGUUUUCUGCUGAUUGAGUUUUAUAGUUGUUUGAAUGAAAUUGUCUAAAAUUGGUACACUUUUCCUUGUUUCACAUUUUUUUCUGACUCCAGGUUAUCAGGCUGUCUGAUCACAGGAGAAGGUUGUGCUUCACACCUGAGAGAACUGGACCUGAGCUACAAUCAUCCAGGAGACUCAGGAGUAAAACUGCUGUCUGCUGGACUGGAGGAUCCUCUAUGGAGACUGGAUACACGGAGGUAUAACCAGACAGUUACUGGGUCACAGACAACUACACAUAUAUUUGGUAUCUGCUACCUGAGGUUUUCACUUAGCAGGUCAUCAUUGUGGACCAUCUUUCUGAUGGACUCUUGGAUGUGAACUGUUUCAUCCUGGAUUGUAGCUCUGAUGC